rnacentral:rRNA from 1 species
UCAGGAUGAACGCUGGCGGCGUGCCUAACACAUGCAAGUCGAACGGGGUGUCUGAUCUUCGGACUGGACACUUAGUGGCGGACGGGUGAGUAACGCGUGGGUAACCUGCCUCAUACAGGGGGAUAGCAGUUGGAAACGACUGAUAAUACCGCAUAAGCGCACAGUACCGCAUGGUACAGUGUGAAAAACUCCGGUGGUAUGAGAUGGACCCGCGUCUGAUUAGCUUGUUGGCGGGGUAACGGCCCACCAAGGCGACGAUCAGUAGCCGGCCUGAGAGGGUGAACGGCCACAUUGGGACUGAGACACGGCCCAAACUCCUACGGGAGGCAGCAGUGGGGAAUAUUGCACAAUGGGGGAAACCCUGAUGCCAGCGACGCCGCGUGAAGGAUGAAGUAUUUCGGUAUGUAAACUUCUAUCAGCAGGGAAGAUGAUGACGGUACCUGACUAAGAAGCCCCGGCUAACUACGUGCCAGCCGCUGC